rnacentral:rRNA from 1 species
AUUCCAGCUCCAGUAGCGUAUAUUAAAGUUGUUGCAGUUAAAAAGCUCGUAGUUGGAUUUCUGGCUUGAGACGCCUGAGCCGCCAGGGUUACCUGUGUGAGUCUCGGUGUGUCUCUGCCAUCCUUCUGGAUAGCGUGUCUACCUUUUAUUAGGCCGGGCUCGUGCUCCAGAUCUUUUACUUUGAAAAAAUUAGAGUGUUUAAAGCAAGCUUGCGCUAUGAAUACAUUAGCAUGGAAUAAUAACUUAGGACUUUGGUUCUAUUUUGUUGGUUUCUAGGACUGAAGUAAUGAUUGAUAGGGAUAGUUGGGGGUGCUAGUAUUCAGCGGCCAGAGGUGAAAUUCUUGGAUUCGCUGAAGACUAACUUAUGCGAAAGCAUUCACCAAGGAUGUCUUCAUCG